rnacentral:rRNA from 1 species
UCAAAUGUAUGUUGACGUAUUCUGAAAGGGAUACUCUUCGGACAAUAUACAAGGUGCUGCAUGGUUGUCGUCAGCUCGUGCCGUGAGGUGUCGGGUUAAGUCCCAUAACGAGCGCAACCCCUAUCAUUAGUUGCCAUCAGGUCAAGCUGGGGACUCUAAUGAAACUGCCUACGCAAGUAGUGAGGAAGGUGGGGAUGACGUCAAGUCCUCAUGGCCUUUAUGACCAGGGCUACACACGUACUACAAUGGCCGAUACAAAGGGCAGCGACACUGCGAGGUGAAGCCAAUCCCGUAAAAUCGGUCUCAGUCCGGAUUGGAGUCUGCAACUCGACUCCAUGAAGUUGGAAUCGCUAGUAAUCGUGGAUCAGCAUGCCACGGUGAAUACGUUCCCGGGCCUU